UUAAGCGACUAAGCGUACACGGUGGAUGCCCUGGCAGUCAGAGGCGAUGAAGGACGUGCUAAUCUGCGAAAAGCGCCGGCGAGGUGAUAUGAACCCUUGACCCGGCGAUGUCCGAAUGGGGAAACCCAGUGCAAUUCGUUGCACUAUCGUUAACUGAAUACAUAGGUUAACGAGGCGAACCGGGGGAACUGAAACAUCUAAGUACCCCGAGGAAAAGAAAUCAACCGAGAUUCCCCCAGUAGCGGCGAGCGAACGGGGAGCAGCCCGGAGUCUGAAUCAGCUUGUGUGUUAGUGGAACGGUCUGGAAAGUCCGACGGUACAGGGUGAUAGUCCCGUACACGAAAGCACACAUGCUGUGAACUCGAAGAGUAGGGCGGGACACGUGGUAUCCUGUCUGAAUAUGGGGGGACCAUCCUCCAAGGCUAAAUACUCCUGACUGACCGAUAGUGAACCAGUACCGUGAGGGAAAGGCGAAAAGAACCCCGGCGAGGGGAGUGAAAAAGAACCUGAAACCGUGUACGUACAAGCAGUGGGAGCCUCUUUAUGGGGUGACUGCGUACCUUUUGUAUAAUGGGUCAGCGACUUAUAUUCUGUAGCAAGGUUAACCGUAUAGGGGAGCCGAAGGGAAACCGAGUCUUAACUGGGCGUUAAGUUGCAGGGUAUAGACCCGAAACCCGGUGAUCUAGCCAUGGGCAGGUUGAAGGUUGGGUAACACUAACUGGAGGACCGAACCGACUAAUGUUGAAAAAUUAGCGGAUGACCUGUGGCUGGGGGUGAAAGGCCAAUCAAACCGGGAGAUAGCUGGUUCUCCCCGAAAGCUAUUUAGGUAGCGCCUCGUGAACUCAUCUUCGGGGGUAGAGCACUGUUUCGGCUAGGGGGCCAUCCCGGCUUACCAACCCGAUGCAAACUACGAAUACCGAAGAAUGUUAUCACGGGAGACACACGGCGGGUGCUAACGUCCGUCGUGAAGAGGGAAACAACCCAGACCGCCAGCUAAGGUCCCAAAGUCAUGGUUAAGUGGGAAACGAUGUGGGAAGGCACAGACAGCCAGGAUGUUGGCUUAGAAGCAGCCAUCAUUUAAAGAAAGCGUAAUAGCUCACUGGUCGAGUCGGCCUGCGCGGAAGAUGUAACGGGGCUAAACCAUGCACCGAAGCUGCGGCAGCGACACUAUGUGUUGUUGGGUAGGGGAGCGUUCUGUAAGCCGUUGAAGGUGUGCUGUGAGGCAUGCUGGAGGUAUCAGAAGUGCGAAUGCUGACAUAAGUAACGAUAAAGCGGGUGAAAAGCCCGCUCGCCGGAAGACCAAGGGUUCCUGUCCAACGUUAAUCGGGGCAGGGUGAGUCGACCCCUAAGGCGAGGCCGAAAGGCGUAGUCGAUGGGAAACAGGUUAAUAUUCCUGUACUUGGUGUUACUGCGAAGGGGGGACGGAGAAGGCUAUGUCAGCCGGGCGACGGUUGUCCCGGUUUAAGCAUGUAGGCGGAGGUUCCAGGUAAAUCCGGUACCUUUUUAACGCUGAGGUGUGAUGACGAGGCACUACGGUGCUGAAGUGAUAAAUGCCCUGCUUCCAGGAAAAGCCUCUAAGCAUCAGGUAACACGAAAUCGUACCCCAAACCGACACAGGUGGUCAGGUAGAGAAUACCAAGGCGCUUGAGAGAACUCGGGUGAAGGAACUAGGCAAAAUGGUGCCGUAACUUCGGGAGAAGGCACGCUGAUGUGUAGGUGAAGCCCCUGCGGGCGGAGCUGAAAUCAGUCGAAGAUACCAGCUGGCUGCAACUGUUUAUUAAAAACACAGCACUGUGCAAACACGAAAGUGGACGUAUACGGUGUGACGCCUGCCCGGUGCCGGAAGGUUAAUUGAUGGGGUUAGCGGCAACGCGAAGCUCUUGAUCGAAGCCCCGGUAAACGGCGGCCGUAACUAUAACGGUCCUAAGGUAGCGAAAUUCCUUGUCGGGUAAGUUCCGACCUGCACGAAUGGCGUAAUGAUGGCCAGGCUGUCUCCACCCGAGACUCAGUGAAAUUGAACUCGCUGUGAAGAUGCAGUGUACCCGCGGCAAGACGGAAAGACCCCGUGAACCUUUACUAUAGCUUGACACUGAACACUGGUCCUUGAUGUGUAGGAUAGGUGGGAGGCUUUGAAGCGUGGACGCCAGUCUGCGUGGAGCCAACCUUGAAAUACCACCCUUUAAUGGCUGGUGUUCUAACGUAGACCCGUAAUCCGGGUUGCGGACAGUGUCUGGUGGGUAGUUUGACUGGGGCGGUCUCCUCCCAAAGAGUAACGGAGGAGCACGAAGGUUGGCUAAUCCUGGUCGGACAUCAGGAGGUUAGUGCAAUGGCAUAAGCCAGCUUGACUGCGAGCGUGACGGCGCGAGCAGGUGCGAAAGCAGGUCAUAGUGAUCCGGUGGUUCUGAAUGGAAGGGCCAUCGCUCAACGGAUAAAAGGUACUCCGGGGAUAACAGGCUGAUACCGCCCAAGAGUUCAUAUCGACGGCGGUGUUUGGCACCUCGAUGUCGGCUCAUCACAUCCUGGGGCUGAAGUAGGUCCCAAGGGUAUGGCUGUUCGCCAUUUAAAGUGGUACGCGAGCUGGGUUUAGAACGUCGUGAGACAGUUCGGUCCCUAUCUGCCGUGGGCGCUGGAGAAUUGAGGGGGGCUGCUCCUAGUACGAGAGGACCGGAGUGGACGCAUCACUGGUGUUCGGGUUGUCAUGCCAAUGGCACUGCCCGGUAGCUAAAUGCGGAAGAGAUAAGUGCUGAAAGCAUCUAAGCACGAAACUUGCCCCGAGAUGAGUUCUCCCUGAGACUUUAAGUCUCCUGAAGGAACGUUGAAGACGACGACGUUGAUAGGUCGGGUGUGUAAGCGCAGCGAUGCGUUGAGCUAACCGAUACUAAUGAACCGUGAGGCUUAACCUU
rnacentral:rRNA from 2 species